AUUUUCAUCAACUGCAAACUUGGAUGCUGGAUCUUCCUACUAGAGCUCACUGAUUGCCCAGGGUUGAGGUACAAGAAUUAUGAAGGAUUCAGAGUCUUGCUCUGUCACCUAGGCUGGAGUGAGGUGGUACAAUCUUGGCUCACUGUGACCACCACCUCCCGGGUUCAAGGGAGCCUCAUGCCUCAGCCUCCUGAGUAACUGGGACUGCAGGUGCGUGCCACCACGCCUGGCUAAUUUUUUGUAUUUUUAGUUUCACCAUGUUGACCAGGCUGGUCUCA
ensembl:lncRNA novel transcript